CCAGGCUGGAUGGCGUCUGAUCAUCUCUCCGUCUUGUUGAAACUCAGGGGAGCCUCCUCCCCACCUCUUCUAGCACUGGCCUUGGGACGAUCGCUCAUCAAGGACCUGAACUUCGCACAGGACAAAGCAUUGCAUGCCGAGCCACUCCAGCACAUCCCCUGAUAAAGUCCAGUAGGUAAAUUCAUCCUGGCAGCAGAAGGAACAGCAGGAGAAAGAAGUGACUCAUCCCGUAGAAUCCAAAAAAUUUUCACCAACAGAUGGCAGGUGGUUCUGACACAGCAGUCCUUGCCCUGAAAGUACCCAGGGACCCAGCCCACAGCCGCAAAUCCAGGGCAGUCCUGCUGAAGAGGCGAGAUCGGACACGUAGACACAGCGGACACGGAGCGCAGAGGUGGAUCAGGCGGGUCUUUGCUCUCAGGGAAUUUCCAGCCUAGUGGGAAGAGGCAUGUAGAUUUUUAAGAACUACAUGUGACAUUUAUGGAGCCGCGGCUUUGUUCCAGGGACUGGGGGACACAGAAUGAAGAUGUGCUCGCAGUCCUCAGGAAGCUGCCCACCCAACCCCCUCAACGCUGCACUGAGGAAGGCCAAUCGAUGCACAAAAAACUGUCGAAUCACCGGAUUAGCAUGACCAUCUAAGCGGCGCCUGGCACACAGUAGGCACUCAGGAAGCACUUGCGGGGGUUAAUGAAUGCACUGAAGGACACGAUGGAAUCACAGAUGGAGGGUGGGGGAAGCUUCUGGAGGCUCCAAGGGCCCGGAAGGAGAGAACCAGCCAAGGGAGGAGCAAUGUUCCAGAACCAGUGCACAGCUGGGCUCUCUGACUUAGAAACUGGCCCAUGACUGGUGGACGUGUACACCCUGCUAUAUUUAAAACGGAUGACCAGCAAGGUCCUACUCUAUAGCACAGGCAACUCUGCUCAAUGAUAUGUGGCAGCCUCGAUGGGAGUUUAGGGGAGAGUGGAUACAUGGAUAUGAACAGCUCAGUCCUCUUGCUAUUCAACUGAAACCAUCACAACAUUGUUAAUUGGCUAUACUCCGAUACAAAAAAGUAUGUUGAAAAGAAAACUGGCCCACAAAGCUUACAUCCUGUGUUCCUCUGUGUGCUUAGCAAUGGGGCUGCCCAUGGUAGCUGUCAACAUCUCGGAAAUGAAACUGCCUUAAAAGAUCUUGCCUUCGAAACAAAACACGUAUUCAG
ensembl:lncRNA